AGACGAGCUUCGGCAAAAACAACAACAUUUGUUUUUCACGAUCUUGGUUGUGUUGAAACUGUUUGGCGCACCAUUGAAGAUGUGCAUCCAGGAAAAAUAGAUGGGGGAUCAACAGGAACCUAAAAAAGAUAUUAUUAAAAUUAGUCAUUGUAAAACUUAUCAAUAAAAACAACUUUAAGGGUGCUUACCUCAAACUUUGAUCAAGGAGGCUUGUGCAUUUUGCAGCCUGGUGGCCAGUGUUUUUCACACACACCCAUAUUUGAAGUUACUUUUUCAAACGCAUUUGGAAUAAAUGACAACCAAUAUUGUAACUUUUGUGUGUCACUUGGAAACAUGUAAA